rnacentral:rRNA from 1 species
AACGAACGCUGGCGGCGUGCUUAACACAUGCAAGUCGAACGCGAAAGGGACUUCGGUCCUGAGUAGAGUGGCGCACGGGUGAGUAACGCGUAAGUAAUCUACCCCUGUAUUCGGAAUAACCUACCGAAAGGUGAGCUAAUACCGGAUGCGUUUAUCUUGAUGCGAAUGAUGAUAAAGAAAGGUGGCCUCUUCUUGAAAGCUACUGUACAGGGAUGAGCUUGCGUACCAUUAGCUAGUUGGUAGGGUAAUGGCCUACCAAGGCGACGAUGGUUAGCGGGUCUGAGAGGAUGAUCCGCCACACUGGAACUGAAACACGGACCAGACUCCUACGGGAGGCAGCAGUGAGGAAUAUUGCGCAAUGGGGGCAACCCUGACGCAGCGACGCCGCGUGGAUGAUGAAGGCCUUUGGGUCGUAAAAUCCUGUCAGAUGGAAAGAAACGUAGGGUGGCUAAUACCUGCCUUAUUUGACGGUACCAUCAAAGGAAGCACCGGCUAACUCCGUGCCAGCAGCCGCAGUAAAAC